ensembl:ncRNA lncRNA:CR45425 long non-coding RNA:CR45425
AUUCAAUUUGAAAUCGUUUAGCGCGAAUAUUGCCGGAAUCGUUGCUCCUAACUAAUUGAAUUGAGCAAAUUUAAAUAUUUAAAAGAAAGUGUGUGACGGAGAAGGAAAACAACUCUUUUAGUUACACAUUCGAUAAGAAACGUGAGAGAGGACCAUAAAUGAUUUCGCAAAAGUGUUUACGAUAAGAUUUUUAUGGACUUCUGAUAUGAUAUGGUAUAGCUCUUUGAGAAACACCUGGGAAGCACAAGUGAAUUAAGUCAACUUUAUAGAGAAAUAUUGUCAUUUGUCAAUUGUUUUAAGAAACACAAUAUUCGCCAAGCAAAAUAAUCUGUGAAUCUAUUUUUAAAUCAUUUUCAAAAACAUGCCACUUGCCGAGAAUUUUCUAUAAUUCGUACACUAACCUCUGACUUGGCUUAUCAGUUGGCUAGUCGGAAAGUUUUACCAGGUCAUCAGACACCUUGGGAUCAACACGAUUUGGUCUGUUGUAAUAUGGAAUCGCUUUUGAAUCACCCAGCAACCCAUUCAUCACUGCGAUAAGGGAUUUGCCAAGCAGAUCCCAGUCGCACCCGUAAGUACUUAACCUAAUAAUGAGAUCUUUAGCAAAACAAU